AACAUUUCCCCCCAGAAGUAAAACAGGAAAUGACAAACUUUCGCGAGAGAUUACUCUUAGGCUGACCUGUGACCUUUGUCCUCAGCGUCAGGUGCGUCACCCGUUCGUCCACGACCUUCAGGACUGCUGGCAGACACAGAGACACCUCUACAUUAUGUGUGACUACUGCAGUACCGGGGACUUGUAUACAUACUGGGUGAUGAUUGGCCAGUUCAGCGAGGACGCUGUCAGGGUGUUUGCUGCAGAGUUAGGCUGCGCUCUCGGGUUCCUCCAUGAUGUUGGGAUCAUCCACAGAGAUGUGAAGAUGGAGAACAUUCUGCUCACAGAUCAAGGUAAACUC